rfam:Agrilus planipennis Contig13562, whole genome shotgun sequence.
UCUCUCGUAGCUUAGUGGUCAAAGCAUUGGCGCGUAAAGCCAAAGAGCCCGGGUUCGAUUCCCGGCGGGGAUG